GGGGAGCUUCCCGAGCGGUCAAAGGGGGCAGACUGUAAAUCUGUUGGCUCAGCCUUCAUAGGUUCAAAUCCUAUGCUCCCCA
rnacentral:tRNA from 1 species